AACUUCACAUUGAAUAAAAGUUAUCAAUUUUCAUAAAAUACACAGCUUAAUAAUUAGGCUAUACUAUAUCACUUCGUGGCAAUAUUAUUUAUGCACAAUAUCGUACUGCGGAAUGUGCAUGUAUCGUUAACAAGUAUCAGGACCGACAAAUCCGCUUGACUUGACUGACAUAUUAGGCAAUCAAAUUUAUCUUCAUUAUCUGGCAUAAAAAAGUAUUGGUUGAAAAUUCCGGUGAGUUUUAAGCCAAACCGGAAGUGGCCGAACCUAGCUAUAUCAAUUGAUUGUUCUCUAGAAGGAAUUAUUUUUAAACUAAAUUU